CCUUCCCCUUUCACUUUGCCAGGUGGACUUUGUGUCCUUUUUGGCCAUUCUUUAGGGGUAUAAAAAAAAUCCUUAUAAAAACCCAAGCAAAUUUCACUGUAUGUUUAGCUUGGUUCCUGUCUGAGGAGACACGG